GAACGGCAGCACAGUGGUAGCAAUACCAUGGGUGGCGAGUGGCGGACGGGUGAGUAAUGCAUCGGGACCUACCCAGACGUGGGGGAUAACGUAGGGAAACUUACGCUAAUACCGCAUACGUCCUACGGGAGAAAGCGGGGGACCUUCGGGCCUCGCGCGGUUGGACGGACCGAUGUGCGAUUAGCUAGUUGGUAGGGUAAUGGCCUACCAAGGCGACGAUCGCUAGCUGGUCUGAGAGGAUGAUCAGCCACACUGGAACUGAGACACGGUCCAGACUCCUACGGGAGGCAGCAGUGGGGAAUAUUGGACAAUGGGCGCAAGCCUGAUCCAGCAAUGCCGCGUGUGUGAAGAAGGCCUUCGGGUUGUAAAGCACUUUUAUCAGGAGCGAAAUACUACCGGUUAAUAACCGGUGGGGCUGACGGUACCUGAGGAAUAAGCACCGGCUAACUUCGUGCCAGCAGCCGCGGUAAUACGAAGGGUGCAAGCGUUAAUCGGAAUUACUGGGCGUAAAGGGUGCGUAGGCGGUUCGUUAAGUCUGUCGUGAAAUCCCCGGGCUCAACCUGGGAAUGGCGAUGGAUACUGGCGAGCUAGAGCGUGUCAGAGGAUGGUGGAAUUUCCGGUGUAGCGGUGAAAUGCGUAGAGAUCGGAAGGAACAUCAGUGGCGAAGGCGGCCAUCUGGGACAACACUGACGCUGAAGCACGAAAGCGUGGGGA
rnacentral:rRNA from 1 species